rnacentral:rRNA from 1 species
GACGAACGCUGGCGGCGUGCUUAACACAUGCAAGUCGAACGGAAAGGCCCUGCUUUUGUGGGGUGCUCGAGUGGCGAACGGGUGAGUAACACGUGAGUAACCUGCCCUUGACUUUGGGAUAACUUCAGGAAACUGGGGCUAAUACCGGAUAGGAGCUCCUGCUGCAUGGUGGGGGUUGGAAAGUUUCGGCGGUUGGGGAUGGACUCGCGGCUUAUCAGCUUGUUGGUGGGGUAGUGGCUUACAAAGGCUUUGACGGGUAGCCGGCCUGGGAGGGUGACCGGCCACAUUGGGACUGAGAUACGGCCCAGACUCCAACGGGAGGCAGCAGUGGGGAAUAUUGCACAAUGGGCGGAAGCCUGAUACAGCAACGCCGCGUGCGGGAUGACGGCCUUCGGGUUGUAAACCGCUUUCGCCUGUGACGAAGCGUGAGUGACGGUAAUGGGUAAAGAAGCACCGGCUAACUACGUG